AGGCUAGCUAUUCAUUCGUGGAACAUCCAGAGGAGAUUCUUGAGGAGCGAGUUUUGGGACAAGUAGGUCUAAAAGCGGUGGUGCUAGAAGAAUGCUACUUCGAGUCUGGAAAAUGCGACUGGACUAGCCCACAUGCAAAUUCCAAGUGGAAGCUCUUUCCUGACGAUUUUGCAUACAUUAAUGGCCCUUACAAAGCGCAGUUACAGAGUCCACCAUUACCAUGGGAACCAUUUCAUCGAGUCGUUGGCUUGUGCUUACGGUUCACUUACCGUAUACCUUUUAAA